rnacentral:rRNA from 1 species
UACGUAGGGUGCGAGCGUUGUCCGGAAUUAUUGGGCGUAAAGAGCUUGUAGGCGGUCUGUCGCGUCUGCUGUGAAAAUCCGGGGCUCAACCCCCGGACUUGCAGUGGGUACGGGCAGACUAGAGUGUGGUAGGGGAGACUGGAAUUCCUGGUGUAGCGGUGAAAUGCGCAGAUAUCGGGAGGAACACCAAUGGCGAAGGCAGCUUGCUGGGACGGUACUGACGCUGGAGG